rnacentral:rRNA from 1 species
GAUGAACGCUGCCAGAAUGCUUAACACAUGCAAGUCGAACGAAGUGGCGAACGGGUGAGUAACGCGUAAUCAACCUGCCCUUCAGAGGGGGACAACAGUUGGAAACGACUGCUAAUACCGCAUACUGAAGGAGGGGAUUGCGUCUGAUUAGCUAGUGGGAGGGGUAACGGCCCACCAAGGCGACGAUCAGUAGCGGGUCUGAGAGGAUGAUCCGCCACACUGGGACUGAGACACGGCCCAGACUCCUACGGGAGGCAGCAGUGGGGAAUUUUGGACAAUGGGCGCAAGCCUGAUCCAGCCAUGCCGCGUGUCUGAAGAAGGCCUUCGGGUUGUAAAGGACUUUUGUCAGGGAAGCGGUACCUGAAGAAUAAGCACCGGCUAACUACGUGCCAGCAGCCGCGGUAAUAC